rfam:Clostridium aceticum strain DSM 1496, complete genome.
GCUGGUGUAGCUCAAUUGGCAGAGCAGCUGAUUUGUAAUCAGCAGGUCGCGGGUUCGAAUCCCAUCACCAGCU